UAGGGAAUCUUCCGCAAUGGACGCAAGUCUGACGGAGCAACGCCGCGUGAGUUUUGAAGGAUUUCGGUUCGUAAAACUCUGUCGUUAGAGAAGAACAGCGCAUAGAGUAACUGUUAUGCGUGUGACGGUAUCUAACCAGAAAGCCACGGCUAACUACGUGCCAGCAGCCGCGGUAAUACGUAGGUGGCAAGCGUUGUCCGCAUUUAUUGGGCGUAAAGCGAGCGCAGGCGGUCAAUUAAGUCUGAUGUGAAAGCCCCCGGCUCAACCGGGGAGGGUCAUUGGAAACUGGUUGACUUGAGUGCAGAAGAGGGGAGUGGAAUUCCAUGUGUAGCGGUGAAAUGCGUAGAUAUAUGGGGGAACACCAGUGGCGAAGGCGACUCUCUGGUCUGUAACUGACGCUGAGGCUCGAAAGCGUGGGUAGCAAACAGG
rnacentral:rRNA from 1 species